rnacentral:rRNA from 1 species
UACGAAGGGUGCAAGCGUUACUCGGAAUUACUGGGCGUAAAGGGUGCGUGGGUGGCGUGGUAAGUCGGGUGUGAAAUUUCGGAGCUUAACUCCGAAACUGCAUUCGAUACUGCCGUGCUUGAGGACUGGAGAGGAGACUGGAAUUUACGGUGUAGCAGUGAAAUGCGUAGAGAUCGUAAGGAAGACCAGUGGCGAAGGCGGGUCUCUGGACAGUUCCUGACACUGAGGCACGAAGGCCAGGGGAGCAAACGGG